rnacentral:rRNA from 1 species
GCGGAUUAAUACCGUAUGAGGUCACAUGCGGGCAUCUAAUUGUGACGAAAGGUUUUGCGGACAUGGAUGGGGAUGCGUCCGAUUAGCUAGUUGGCGGGGUAACGGCCCACCAAGGCGACGAUCGGUAGGGGUUCUGAGAGGAAGGUCCCCCACAUUGGAACUGAGACACGGUCCAAACUCCUACGGGAGGCAGCAGUGAGGAAUAUUGGUCAAUGGACGCAAGUCUGAACCAGCCAAGUAGCGUGCAGGAUGACGGCCCUAUGGGUUGUAAACUGCUUUUAUGCGGGGAUAAAGUGAGGGACGUGUCCCUUUUUGUAGGUACCGCAUGAAUAAGGACCGGCUAAUUCCGUGCCAGCAGCCGCGGUAAUACGGAAGGUCCGGGCGUUAUCCGGAUUUAUUGGGUUUAAAGGGAGCGUAGGCCGUCUUUUAAGCGUGUUGUGAAAUGCCGCGGCUCAACCGUGGCACUGCAGCGCGAACUGGAGGACUUGAGUGCGCAGGAGGUAGGCGGAAUUCGUGGUGUAGCGGUGAAAUGCUUAGAUAUCACGAAGAACUCCGAUUG